rnacentral:rRNA from 1 species
UAGGGAAUCUUCCGCAAUGGACGAAAGUCUGACGGAGCAACGCCGCGUGAGUGAAGAAGGAUUUCGGUUCGUAAAACUCUGUUGUUAGGGAAGAAAAAAUGUAUAGUAACUAUAUACAAAAGAGACGGUACCUAACCAGAAAGCCACGGCUAACUACGUGCCAGCAGCCGCGGUAAUACGUAGGUGGCAAGCGUUGUCCGGAAUUAUUGGGCGUAAAGCGCGCGCAGGUGGUUUAGAAAGUAUGAUGUGAAAGCCCACGGCUCAACCGUGGAGGGUCAUUGGAAACUAAUAAACUUGAGUGCAGGAGAGAAAAGUGGAAUUCCUAGUGUAGCGGUGAAAUGCGUAGAGAUUAGGAGGAACACCGGUGGCGAAAGCGGCUUUUUGGCCUGCAACUGACACUGAGGCGCGAAAGCGUGGGGAGCAAACAGG